UACGUAGGGUGCAAGCGUUGUCCGGAAUUACUGGGCGUAAAGCGCGCGUAGGCGGCUUUGUAAGUUAGAGGUGAAAGCCCGGAGCUCAACUCCGGAACUGCCUUUAAAACUGCAUCGCUUGAAUCCAGGAGAGGUGAGUGGAAUUCCGAGUGUAGAGGUGAAAUUCGUAGAUAUUCGGAAGAACACCAGUGGCGAAGGCGGCUCACUGGACUGGUAUUGACGCUGAGGUGCGAAAGCGUGGGGAGCAA
rnacentral:rRNA from 1 species